CCUGACCAGGGGGCCCUGCGAGAGGCCGGCCGGCUGCCCCGUCGAGGACCAUAAGCCUCGUAGGCGCCUUCCGCUGGCCAGGGCAGGAGGCUGGCUGGGAAGAGGAGCUGCCCCGGAGGGCAAGAGGCAGGUGAGGACAAGCCCAGCCCAGCAGCCAGGAGACAGCACCAAGUCAGAGGCUGUCAGGCAGCCAGCAGGCCUGCCCAGGCUGGAAUCUGAACCUGGGCCCCAGUCUGGCCUUCCUCUCCACCUAACUGCUCCGAUCUUCACCUCUUGGUCCUGCUGAGGUCUCCUGCUCCCUCACAACCUCUGGGUGCACUGGGACCGUGCCCAGCCCACACACAGCUCUCUCUCCUCUCAGCUCUGUGAGCACCACACCGUCUAACACACGGACGGUGGCGGAGUGGAGAGCGUAACCAGAAUGGAGCUAGAAGAUGUGGGCGCACGUCCUGUUUCUGCCACUUACCAGCUGUGCACUCUGGAUCAGGUCAGAGAGGUUUACCUCUCCAGGUCACCUGAAAUCCUUUUUGGAAUAAGAUGGAGAAACUGAGGCACAGAGCGGCUAAGCUCAUUUGUCCAAGGUUACCCAGCCUGUAAAUGGUAGAAAUAAGAAUUUCACCCCAGAGUCUGUGCCCGUAAACGAGACAUCCUAUUGCCCCUCUAGGAUUGGGGACAUAGCCAGGUGAUGCCACUGAAGCUUGGCAGCCCCUUUCCCAGUGGCUCUCCCUCCAGCCCAUCACCCUGCCUCAAGGCAGGUCCUGUGUGCUGUGGCCCAGCAGAGACUCUGCCAGCCAGGCCAAGGUCUAUUCUAGAAGGAGGCUGUUGCAGGGCCCUGUCCUCCUCUCCCAGGGAUUCUGCAAGUAGCUUGAACAGUUAAACAGAGGAAAUGGGGCUGGGCUUGUUUUCAGUCUGAGGCUUCUGGCAGCCCUGGAGUAGCAGGGAGCAGGAAAUGUGACGCCUGGAGGGGAAGCUGGGCAGGCUGGAGGCUCCGAGAGGCAGAGCAGUCCUAGCUGUGGGACCACAGUCCCCCUGGGCUUGUACUCACUGAAGCUGUCAGUACUUUGCAGGUGGGGUGGGGAGGACAAGGCUGGAAGGGACAGGUGCACAGGGCUGGGGAGGAUGCCCUCGGCAGUUCCUAGGACAACGUGUGCCAGCACUGGGGAGCUGGGGACCCCUCAGAAUCCACCCAGGAAGAGGAAUCUGGGUAAGAAAAUUAUUCUGGGCUUUUUUGAGGCCCCAGGGGGUGAGGUGUUCUACUUUCUGUGGCCUGGAUGAGCAAGUGGGAGCUGGGGAAAAGAAAUGUACCAGGGCACCAAACACUUAACGCACGAUCUGGACAGCCACUGCUCUCACAACCAGCCAAGCCAACCUCCUUGGCCUGACCUUCAAGGCUCCUUGUGUUCUGGUUCCUUUCUUUUUUGCCUCUUCGUCCAAGCUUUCCCUGCAGAGAUUUUCUCUCAGCUCACACCAUGCUGGUGCCUGCCUCACAGCUUCUCCAGUCCUAAGUGGAUCUCUUGGGACUUCCCUGCUGGUCCAGUGGUAAAGAAUCUGCCUUGCAGU